GAUACAGAUAUCAUUUUGGUUUGUCAGGUCAAACUGAAUCCAAGUAAUUGCAAAUAUUUGGUUAACUGUAGGCCUCCCACCCUUUGCUUAUGUUACUGUAGGUGUUAAAAAAGGUUAUGCAAUAACCAUGAUUAACAACUAAGGAACAACGCGCGCGGAGUCUGGGGAUGGAUUUCAUGCUACAAAGGUGUGGAUCAUAACAUGUGGCAGCUCAUUGUGUAGAAUGCCAUGGAUUUAUGAGAUAAGGCCUCUAGGGCUGCGAAGAUAACGCUGUCAUAUAAGCAUUACAGCAAAAUCAAACAACAGGUAAUUUGCAUUAAUUUCAUCAUUUAUACUGAAUAUUAUAAAUACUAUAUCAUAAAAAGAAGUAAAGAACAUUACAUUUGAUAUUAAAAUUCGUAUAAAAUGUCUCUUUUGUCUUUUAAAAUAUAAGCAAAAUAGUGAUGAAUUAGUUUAGAAGAGUGUUUCGAAACUCUAAGAAUGUUUUCUGAGUGUAAUUCCAUGGCUCUCACAACCAAAACUGCUGAAUGUUGCAAAAAUAACUCUAGAUUAAUUUCUCAAAAUUUUCCAGGUUCACACAAGACAAUAAUCAGAAGUAAGUUCUAUACAGAUGUGGAAAAAAGUGAGAUCUUGGGAUCUUAAGGAACACUUGCCUUAUAGCAAGAAAAUAAUUGAGGAACAUUCAUUUUCAACUUUUCACACAUAUAGGUUAUGGCAGAAUCUUAAGCUGGAUUUCCACUUGCAAGAAAAAUUUCGCUGUCGAAAUGUUUCGCUCAAUUUCUUUUGAAUUGUUGAGCGGUCAAGUAGAACUGAUUUAUUCGGAUGGUCACAAUUCAAAAGAAAUCAAGCGAAAUAUUUGGACGACGAAAUAUCCUCUGCAAGUAGAAAUCCACCCUUAAGCAAUCAUUAGAUCAUACUUCCUUAUCUGUCAUUAGGGAUUGUGAAGUGUUGUUCAAUGUUUAAAAUUUGGCGUAAUGAACUGUGAAAUUUUCGAUUGUUUUUAGCACUUUUGAAGAACAUUUGAAAAAGGCAAAUUCAAGAUCCGAGAACCUUUUCACAUUUUUUCCAGAUCUGAUUCUGAUCUUAUAGUUUGCUCUAAAACGUUAAUUAAAAAUUUCAAAAAGAUUUUUUACAAGUAAAUUUUCAGACACAUUAAUUUUGAGUCGUAUACACGCACUAUAACAAGGGGGCGUUAUUGCGUUAAGCGUGCGUUUUAACAGAUUGUUCUUAAAUUUGCACACGUUGUAGGUGUAUGUCUUAAAUUUGCACACGUUGUAGGUGUAGUUGCAAAGUUACAAUUAUAGUUACAAGCCUUUUGUUGUGCAUUGGUUGCAAUAUAACACAUGUCGGGAAAGACUAUAUGCCUUAGCUAAAUAAUCCCUAAAGCAACAAUAAAAUGUGAACACAUUUCUUAGAACAAUCCUCGAGAAAGGCAAAAACGAUAUAGUUUGACAACUUUUAGUAAAACCAAGAUUUUGUUGGCAUCUAACUCGUUUGAAUUAAAAUGUUUUAGAAAGAGUACAAAGGGUAUUAGAUGGAAAUUAUCGAGUUGAAAUUUAUAUAGGGUACUGCCAUGCAUGUUAGGUUAUGGGUAAAUAUAAAGAUUUUG